GUGUCAUGUAGACUCAAUCCCUCGGGUUUCUGAGGUUGGAUUGGGUGCUUGCCUUCUGGCUCGCCUUAAAGGACUUAGCAGGAUAGCACUGUAGUCGACGUAAUAAGUCUCGUUGGUGAAAGUGUGAUGUCUGCUUACAGAUUGCCCUUGGGCAAUUUUGACUCUGACCUCAAAUCAGGUAGGACUACCCGCUGAACUAA
rnacentral:misc_RNA from 1 species